CCUACGGGUGGCAGCAGUGGGGAAUAUUGGGCAAUGGGCGCAAGCCUGACCCAGCAACGCCGCGUGAAGGAAGAAGGCCCUCGGGUUGUAAACUUCUUUUGUCAGGGACGAAACAAAUGACGGUACCUGACGAAUAAGCCACGGCUAACUACGUGCCAGCCGCCGCGGUAAUACGUAGGUGGCAAGCGUUAUCCGGAUUUUCUGGGUGUAAGGGGCGUGUAGGCGGGAGGACAAGUCAGAUGUGAAAUUCCAGGGCUCAACCCUGGAACUGCAUUUGAAACUGUUUGUCUUGAGUGAUGGAGAGGCAAGCGGAAUUCCGGGUGUAGCGGUGAAAUGCGUAGAUAUACGGAGGAACACCAGUGGCGAAGGCAGCCUGCUGGACAGUAACUGACGCUGAGGCGCGAAAGCGUGGGGAGCAAACAGGAUUAGAUACCCUUGUAGUC
rnacentral:rRNA from 1 species